rnacentral:rRNA from 1 species
GGCUCAGGACGACGCUGGCGGCGUGCCUAACACAUGCAAGUCGAGCGGGGACAUGCGACGGAGUCGAAGUUUCGGAUGGAGACAAAGAUGUAUGUCUAGCGGCGACGGGUGAGUAACGCGUGAGCAACCUGUCCUUCACAGGGGGAUAACACAGCGAAAGUUGUACUAAUACCGCAUGAGACCACGGUAAGACAUCUUACAGAGGUCAAAGGAGCAAUCCGGGUGAAGGGUGGGCUCGCGUCCGAUUAGAUAGUUGGUGAGGUAACGGCCCACCAAGUCGACGAUCGGUAGCCGACCUGAGAGGGUGAUCGGCCACAUUGGGACUGAGACACGGCCCAAACUCCUACGGGAGGCAGCAGUGGGGAAUAUUGGGCAAUGGGGGAAACCCUGACCCAGCCAACGCCGCGUGAGGGAAGAAGGUUUUCGGAUCGUAAACCUCUGUCCUAUGUGAAGAGGAAGAGACGGUAGCAUAGGAGGAAGCCCCAGCUAACUACGUGCCAGCAGCUGC